GACGAACGCUGGCGGCGUGCUUAACACAUGCAAGUCGAACGGAAAGGCCCUGCUUUUGUGGGGUGCUCGAGUGGCGAACGGGUGAGUAACACGUGAGUAACCUGCCCUUGACUUUGGGAUAACUUCAGGAAACUGGGGCUAAUACUGGAUAGGAGCUCCUGCUGCAUGGUGGGGGUUGGAAAGUUUCGGCGGUUGGGGAUGGACUCGCGGCUUAUCAGCUUGUUGGUGGGGUAGUGGCUUACCAAGGCUUUGACGGGUAGCCGGCCUGAGAGGGUGACCGGCCACAUUGGGACUGAGAUACGGCCCAGACUCCUACGGGAGGCAGCAGUGGGGAAUAUUGCACAAUGGGCGGAAGCCUGAUGCAGCAACGCCGCGUGCGGGAUGACGGCCUUCGGGUUGUAAACCACUUUCGCCUGUGACGAAGCGUGAGUGACGGUAAUGGGUAAAGAAGCACCGGCUAACUACGUGCCAGCAGCCGCGGUGAUACGUAGGGUGCGAGCGUUGUCCGGAUUUAUUGGGCGUAAAGGGCUCGUAGGUGGUUGAUCGCGUCGGAAGUGUAGUCUUGGGGCUUAACCCUGAGCGUGCUUUCGAUACGGGUUGACUUGAGGAAGGUAGGGGAGAAUGGAAUUCCUGGUGGAGCGGUGGAAUGCGCAGAUAUCAGGAGGAACACCAGUGGCGAAGGCGGUUCUCUGGGCCCUUCCUGACGCUGAGGAGCGAAAGCGUGGGGAGCGAACAGGCUUAGAUACCCUGGUAGUCCACGCUGUAAACGGUGGGUACUAGGUGUGGGGUCCAUUCCACGGGUUCCGUGCCGUAGCUAACGCUUUAAGUACCCCGCCUGGGGAGUACGGCCGCAAGGCUAAAACUCAAAGGAAUUGACGGGGCCCCGCACAAGCGGCGGAGCAUGCGGAUUAAUUCGAUGCAACGCGUAGAACCUUACCUGGGUUUGACAUGGAUCGGGAGUGCUCAGAGAUGGGUGUGCCUCUUUUGGGGUCGGUUCACAGGUGGUGCAUGGCUGUCGUCAGCUCGUGUCGUGAGAUGUUGGGUUAAGUCCCGCAACGAGCGCAACCCUUGUUCACUGUUGCCAGCACGUUAUGGUGGGGACUCAGUGGAGACCGCCGGGGUCAACUCGGAGGAAGGUGGGGAUGACGUCAAGUCAUCAUGCCCCUUAUGUCCAGGGCUUCACGCAUGCUACAAUGGCUGGUACAGAGAGUGGCGAGCCUGUGAGGGUGAGCGAAUCUCGGAAAGCCGGUCUCAGUUCGGAUUGGGGUCUGCAACUCGACCUCAUGAAGUCGGAGUCGCUAGUAAUCGCAGAUCAGCAACGCUGCGGUGAAUACGUUCCCGGGGCU
rnacentral:rRNA from 1 species